rnacentral:rRNA from 1 species
UACAGAGGUCUCAAGCGUUGUUCGGAUUCAUUGGGCGUAAAGGGUGCGUAGGCGGCGCGGUAAGUCGGGUGUGAAAUCUUGGAGCUUAACUCCGAAACUGCAUUCGAUACUGCCGUGCUUGAGGACUGGAGAGGAGACUGGAAUUUACGGUGUAGCGGUGAAAUGCGUAGAUAUCGUAAGGAAGACCGGUGGCGAAGGCGGGUCUCUGGACAGUUCCUGACGCUGAGGCACGAAGGCCAGGGGAGCAAACGGG